CUUGAAUACACUGUAAGGAUUCUGGCUGUGGAAAUGUACAAGGCAGCAUUCAUCUGGUGAGGAAACUCCUGGGGGGAAACAGGUGCCCCGUUUUCCACACUUGGAAUAUUCUGCAGUUUUUCCUAGGAACUACUAAGAUAACUAAUACAUGUGCAAUGCCUAGCUGCUAUGAUAAUGCCCUGCAUGAGGAGGAUCUGUGCUAGAGCCUUAUUAGCUUUGACCUUGAUCUCAGGUGCUCAGCUUGUGGGAAUAAAGGAAUUCUGUUGUUGGACAACCACAAUGUCACACCAAGCUCUGCUGAGCCUGAACCUUUCCACAUAACAGAAACUUUAAACAACGGGCUUUCUUGAGAGCUACACAAAGCUCCUAACAUUUCACAUUACAACUGCAGUAUGUAACUGAGAGAGAAGCAGCAUAAUGUUGCUAACUCUGUAACCUGCCUAAUGCCACAAUGAACAAUAAUGUGCUACUGAUGCCAGUGACCUAAUGUAACCUAUUGAUAUAAAUAAAGCUGGCAGCUCAGGCGAGCAGCUUUUGCUUUGCCUCUGCACCUUGCCUCUGUCUCCUUUUGCUUUCCUUACAACAUACACAGCAAAAUUAACUAAAAGAAACAUGUUAUUUCUUUCUACUUAUUUGUGUCUUUCUUUCUUGAUGAAGUUCUAUUGUUUUGAGAUGAUUAAAUUUAUUCCUAUGCAUUUAGCUUUUAUUGCUAUCUUAUAAUUCUUUCUGGUAUAUGUGAGAAAAUUUUUAUAUCUACAUUUUAACUACCAUAUUGAAAACUUACUACUAUAUUACAAUAAUUUGGAUUAAUGGUCUAUUUACUUAUAGCUUGCUACAGAGAUUUCUGUUUGAAAGUCUUCCAUGUGCUGUCUGUGUUGUGCCAGAGCAUGUGUG
rnacentral:lncRNA from 1 species